rnacentral:lncRNA from 1 species
UUUAUAAUUAUCUAACCUUCCCUGCAAAUUUCAAAUCACAACCAAUUCCAGUAUUUCAACUACUUCAUUUAAAUACUAAUGAAGUUCAACCAAUCAACCAUUUCAAACUAAAAACAUGUAUAUAUUUCGAUAUUUAACACAACCAUAACAUUCAAAUUUACUUUGCAUACUUAGUCAUUCAUUCUAUUACUUUUUAUCUCAAUUCCCUAUACAUGCCAUAUAAAUCCAAAUUUAUUUAACAAAAUCUACCAGAGUAAAUCUGGAUAGUGUGAUUUCUGAUGUAGAUCCGAUCCUCCGAAUGUAUAAAUACGUCAAUCUACAAAAAACAAUAAACACACACAAGUAAGCUUAUAGAAAGCUUAGUAAGUUCAUAGGCACAAAACAUGAAUCUUACGAAACAUUUAUACACUUAUACAUUAUACACCAUUACUAAGUUUACCUGUCAACCACAAUCUUUGGUGAGUUCCUUGGUAUAAACUCACUACUACUUAUUCUUUUACCAUAAUUCCUUUGGGCCCAUUUGUCACUUACCAUCCUUGAUCAAAAUUAAGGAACGAUUACGGAAAAUUGAGUACUUCACUUUCACUUUUCCAUACGAUCUCUUAUCACUUGUCCCUGAUCAGAUAAGUGUAGCUAGGCUACCACUUAUCACUUUGUCACUUGAUCAGAUAAGUGUAGCUAAAGCUAUCACUUAUCACUUUAUCACUUGAUGAGAUAAGUGUAGUUAAAGCUACCACUUAUCAGUUUGUCACUUGAUCAGAUAAGUGUAGUUAAAGCUACCACUUAUCACUUUGUCACUUGAUCAGAAGUACUCAAAUCUGGCGUUCCGCUCAAUUUGAUCAUUUGUUCAGUUUUCGCAUUUUUAUUUUAUUUUCAUUUCAUCAAUAAAUAUAUAUUUCAUCAUACAUUAUAUAAUUCAUGAAAUUAACAUUUAAUCAUAAAAUUUCGGCCAUAUGAACUUACCUAGAUCGAUUUGCAGAAUUUGUAAAAGUUCAGGGGCUAAUCGGCUACUUUUUCUUUUCCUUGACUUGUUUCGGGUUCUCGAUAUAAAAUAAAAAUUUAUUCAUUCAUCAACAUAUAAUUCAAUUCUAAUUCAUUUAACAAUUUAUGCCCUUUAAUUUUCUAAAUUACACUUUUACCCCAAACUUUACAAUUUUUACAAUUUGGUCCCUACUUAAUUAACCCCUCAAUUGAUCUAAUUUUUCUCAAUUAACACCUUUUACAACUAUUUUAGACUACUUCAUAGCCUUUAAUAUUCAAAACCGCAACACCAAACCUUAAUUCCCAACUUUUUCACAAUUAAGUCCCUAAAAUCAAUUUCUAUCAAAAUUACUUAAUAAAGUCAUCAUAUAACAAAUUUAAAGCUUUAAUUCCAUGUUUAUUCAUAAUAAAAAUCAAUAACUCAUCAAUGGUAACUCUAAAAAUCAGCCAUGAGAUAAAAAAACUAAUGAACUAAUUAGUUGGACUUAUUUGUAAAAGUAUCAAAAUCACAAAAAUUAGAAGAAAUAAUCAAGAAUUAAACUUACAUGAUUCAAAUAUAUGAAAAACCAGCUUGUUUCAGACCUCCUAUGGCGUUUUUCUGAUAAAUUGUGAAGAGAUCUCUAGAUUUUUCACUUUUGUCUUUGUUUUAUAUGCUUAAUUUGUUAAGUUUCCAAUUUUGCCCCUGUUUCUCCUUACAUUCUGCUGAUUUUUCUUACCCAACCGUCCAGCCCAUAUAAUUUGGGCCUAAUUUCCUUUUAAAUCCCUCCUCAUUAGUCACUUAAGCUAUUUUUAUCACAAUUUAACAAAUUUUACACUAUUUUCAAUUUAGUCCUUUUUAGUUAAUUAACUGUCCAAACGUUAAAAUUUUCUAACGAAACUUUAAUACCAACUCAAUGACACUCUAUAAAUAUUUCUAAAAAUAUUUAUGGCUUGGUUUAAAAUCUUCGACGUCUCGAUACCUCGUUUUUGAUUUUAAUUAUUUUAAUAUUUAUUCCUAGUACACUAUUCACUAUUUCAAAAAUUUUCCUAACUUCACAUUUAACUUAUACUUACUAAAUUUAUAAUAUUUUCUACUCGUUUAUCAGAUUUAGUGAUCUCGAAUCUCCAUUCCGACACCACUAAAAAUUUAGGCUAUUACAAAUUGUUUGUAAUUAUAUAUAGGUGGUAUGUUUGAAUAAUCAUUGUAAUUAGUGAGUUCCAUCGAAUUGAGUGUAAUUGGAGUAGAGGUAUCCUUAAGCCAGGUUGGGUUGGACCCAAGCUCGGUUCCAAUAAUUUCAAACUCAAGCCCGUUUUUGGACCGCCCGCCCAAAAAAUCAAUUUUACUAUUCAAAAAAAUAUUAUUAAAAAUAAUAUUUUAAUUGAUAUUUUAUAUACUUUUAUAAUUAAAUUUAAAUUUAAAAAAUAUUUUAUUAUUAUUAAAUUGAAUUUGUGUCGAGUUGAGGUGCAAAAAUCCUUGUCCAAGCUCGAUUCUAGUCGGGUCAAGUCACAUAGACUACCCGAUCUUUGGACAAGUCUAAAUUGGAGCACCCUAAUUACACUUUCCAGUUUUUAGAGUGAGGGUGAGAAUUGAAGUAAUUACGUUGGUGUUACACUCAAAUCCAAUUUUAAAAAUUAUUUUGAUACAAGUUAUAAAAGAAGAAAUUAUUCAGUAUAUUGUUAGUGGAGUUUUUAAACUCUACAAAUAGGAUAAAGAGUUUGACAAAUGUCUUAUAAGGGUAUAGUAAAAUAUUAAAAAAAACACGUCAAAAUUUUAAGGCUGUUUGUGAAAUAAAAAAAGUACAGUGCCACCCAAUAGUUACUCUUAUAAAAGAAUAUAUUAUAUCUAUGAACAUGUAUAAGUGUUUGGGAUGGUUAUGACAAAAGAAUUCGUGUAUUAUAAAUCCUAAAAGCUUAUAUUAUAAAAGUAACUUGUGUAUUUUAUAAAAUUAUAAUAUAUAUUAUUUAAAUCUUAAAAAAUUCUAAAAUUAUGAUAAAAAAUUAUUAUAAAAAACUAAUUUAUAUGUUAUAAAAAUGUUGUUAUAGCAUUUUUAUUUAUAAUAAGUUAGGGCAAAAAAAUAUGGAUAUAAUUUAUUUAUGUCCUAUAUAAUUUACCUUACUUAAAUUCGGACCUGACCCGGUCUGUCUAUAUUUAAUUUUUUAGAUUAUUUUUUAUUUAAAAAUAUUUUUUUUAAAAAUAUAAUACACUAAAUACACUAAAAAUGCUAAAAUAAAAGUUUUCUAACACAUUAAAAAUAUUUAUAUUAAAAAAGACUACCAUAAAUAUAAUAUAUGCUUUAUUAUAUUAAAAGCGCAAAUAAAUAUAAUAAAUAAUUUAUUGUAUUAAAUAUAAAUUUUAAAAUUUUAUAUUUUGGAUUGGGUUAUUUAGUUGGGUUACUUUUUUUUAGGUUUUGGAUAAUGAGUUUAAUUGUUAUUGAGUUAGUGGUUUAAUAUAAAUAAAUAUAGAUAUAAACAUAUAUAAUCAUUUUUUAUAACAUAAUAUAUUCGGGUCGAACUGAGCUCGUGUCUAAAAUAUUACCCGAGGCUUGGCCUAUAUAGAAAACGGAUAAUAAAUUUUACCCAAUCCCAUUUUUUGGGUCUCAUAUUUUUGUCUAAACUUCUCAUAGUUCAAGUGGAUCUUUAGACCUAAAUGAGUGUAAUGGUGUAUGUAUAGGUUUUAUAGAGCAAAACUAAAAAUAUAUGUAGGGGUGAUAUUGAAUUAUAAGUGUUUUUAGGCUGAUGAUAUUCAAGCGUUUGAAGGAAGAAGAGACCCAAACACUUGUUUGCGACUUCUCUUGAAAUUGUAUAAUCAAUUAUAGUUUUAACAAGAGUUGGUCUCUCACCUAUUAAUUAUAUAUAUCAAUACAAUAGCAUGAGAUUGGUGGUUGAGGGUAAAAGUAUAAAGAAUAUUAAAUAUAAUUAAUAAUUUUUCUUUUAAAAUUAUUCAAGUUUCUUUUUGCUUUCCUUUAUUUUCUUGUGAGUAGUUAAGAAAAUUUUAUGUUUGCCAUACCUUAAUUUUCGUAUCAGUUGUUAAGAAAAUGAUUUUUUUUUUCUAUCAUUUAACAUUUUUCUUUAAAUUUUAAAAUGUGUUUAAAAAUAUUUUCUUUUCGAAAUUCUAUUUUUUUUAAUUUGGAAUUCUGUGUUUUAUUUAUUUAUUUUAGAACAUAUUUUUAUAAUUUUAAAAAAAAUAUGUCUGAAAAUAUAAAACAAAAUAGUGUUACAUAAGCAAGGUAAGAUUGGUGAUCAAUUUACUUCAAAUAAAAGAAUAAGGGCCAAUAUGAAUAAAAGUGUAAAAGUUAAUGGAUAAAACAUCAAAAUAUAAUUCUUUUACAUGCAAAGUAAUUUACCCAUUUUUGGAUAAAAAGACUAAGCUCCAGCCUGGAAUUAAGCCUCCAGUGAGGUGAAAUGCAUUUUCAACCUACUGAACAAUGCUUUCCAAAUAGUCUUGCGUUUACUAACAUUUCAGUUGCAAUUUUUUUUAGCUUAAAAAAGCCAACGUACUGAGAUGCAGUUGCAUCCAAAGGAGGCUUAAAUUAAAUAUAUAUGAAGAUAGUUGUAGACUGCAAUGAUAGUAAAUAAACAUCCUUUCUUUGGACAUAUGAGCAUGGAAUAUUGUGUACCUGUAUUUAAGGAAUAUCCUAAUCCCACGAGCCAUGUUCUGGUGCCCAGACAGGCUGCCAGAUGCUUCUUCCAAAAACCAUUCAAAUCAGACAUCGACUACCAAACCGUCAGGCAAGCCCGACAUCUAUUGAAAUUCAACCUCAUUUCAUAUUGAUCGUCUCAUUCCUAAACAUUAGCUCUUCUCUGGGUUUGGUUUGGUCUAUUGCUUUAAAUCAAUUAUCCCAAAAUGACUCCUAGAAUCUAGGUGCUAAAAUAAGUAGUCGAUUCAUAUGAAAUGAAAACGCUGUUGCUCGCAUACUAGCGCUACUAAAUGACCAAUUAUUGCUUUGGACGAAUGCAGCAUGUGAUUUGCCCUGCCAACACAAUAUUCUUCCAUUUCCAGUGGUGGCCAACCGGAUUGAUU